CAUGGGAAAUAUCCGCGCGACAAACAGCCACGUGUUCAGUGGAUUAUCACAUGACCUUAGCUGUUAGCUUUUUAUGAUCGAUUUCUACGUUCCUGACCAUUCUCAAUCAUAUUUCGAAAAUUUGAAAGUAAGAAGAACAAUUCCGUAAAAAGAAUUUGGAACCACUACAAUCAAAUUACAAGAAAGGAACAGAUUUUCAAAUUAAUUCCGCGUUUUUAAAUUCACGUUUUGAAAAUAAAGAGAAUUAUCAUAAUACUGGUAGUAUUGAAAUGAGCUCGUAAAUUUGAGCUAGUGACCGAGGGAGCUAAGUAUUUGAAAAAAAAAUAAUUUGAGGAGUUAUAUGGUUUGGCCAGAUAGUAGCAAACAAAAAAUACUCUUUUACAAAAAAUGAAAUGUACGCUGAUGUAUGAUUUUCGUUUGAGUGCUACAGAUUUUAAAUUCAUUUGCGUCACACUAAUUUACUCUUAAACACAUGUAUGAAGUGUUUAAUUAUUAAAAACAACUUCAGCAUAACGACGGAUUUUAAAUCUGACCAGAUUUUGUUUCAAAACACAUUUAUGUCCUGAAAUCAUCGCCGAAUGGCAGCUGUUGACUUCCCACGUGUUUUUUUUUUGUAAGCUUACUUUUUACAGAACACUAGCUCCAAUAAAUCAUAAUGUUUUAAGUCCCAACUAAACAGUUAUGAAAUUUUGAAGCAUUUAAUUAUUUUAAAAUGUUGAAGAGAAAAUGAUAAAAUCUAUUGUUAAGAGAUCGAAUAUCUCAUAUUAAGAGUGUCAUUAAUCAAUAUUUAAAGAUUAAAAAACGGUAAAUCUCAACUAGAAUCCCCGAUUUAAGGCAUCACCGUCGAUAAAAAACAUAGAAAGUGCAUCAAAAUAUUUUCUAACAAUAAUUUUAAAUUGACCUUUAAAAAAACGUGGUCACGAGUUAAUAGACCAUAAAAUCUUCUUAAGUUAGAUGUGUUGAAAAUCAUCGUAACUAAAGUACAACCAAUUAAGUGAAUUCAGUACAAUGAUGAUACACUUUAAAUGAUAAUAGUCACUGGUAUUACUGAUUAUUAAAACAAACGUUGCCAUUAUAAGACUAUUUGUAGAAUGGAUUUGAAAAAAAUAGGGAAUUUAUAGUGACCCUUCCCAUUUGAAAAAAAAACAAAAACAAAAUAACGAAAAUAAACAAUAAAUCAUCCAUGAAAUAUUUUUUAUCCAGAUUAUUUAGUGAAUAGUGUAACAUUUAAAGUCAUCUAAACUAAGUUGAGAGGAACAAUUCGACGUGGAAAAUAAGAUCUCAAUGUUGUAAUAUCGUAUGGAUAAGAACAAGAACAUAUUGAAUAAGCAAAAAAGUUAUUAUUUUAAAGAAUACAUUAAAAAAAAGUUGAGGAAAAGAAAAAAA